GCCCAGUGAUGAGACCAAGGCGAAUAUGAGCCCACUGAAUUAGAGUCUGAGCUCUCCUGCGUUCCUUUUGGCUGGUAAUCUUGGCUGGGCAGUGAAGAUUUGCUGUCUUGCUGUAAGGGCCUGCCUACAUUCAACAAGCCCCUUUCUUUGAAAUUUCUAUCCUUUGAAGAAAUGGUGAAGAAAAAGGAUGGAGCUUACAUUUUGUGUGUGUUUGUGUGUGAGAAGGGUCACAGGUUGAGUCUCAGUUUUCUGCAGUAAUUCUUGGGGCACUGAGCUCUCUCUUUGGUAAUCUGAGGGCA
ensembl:snoRNA